UACAGAGGUCCCAAGCGUUACUGAGAAUCACUGGGUUUAAAGGGUGCGUAGGUGGUCCGUUAAGUCAGUUGUGAAAUCCCCGGGCUCAACCCGGGAACUGCUUCUGAUACUGGCGGACUUGAGGCCAGUAGGGGUCACUAGAACUGACGGUGGAGCGGUGAAAUUCGUAGAUAUCGUCAGGAAUGCCGGUGGCGAAGGCGGCUCACUGGCCCGAUACUGACGCUGAGGCACGAAAGCGUGGGGAGCAAACAGG
rnacentral:rRNA from 1 species